rnacentral:lncRNA from 1 species
UCUCAACCUCUUCUCAUUUAUCAAUAAGAAAGAAAUUUAGAUUUAAAAAAAAAAAUGGCUCUCCACUUACAUGUUCGCUCUAACAGCUAUCCCUCAAGACUUCACCCUCAAGCUGCUCAUGUCGAUGAGCAGUUGGCUCGUUUGAGAUCUUUUGAGGAAGCCUGAUGUAGCAAGAUAUUUGGAAAUAUUCUAAAUAUCAUUUAUUAUUAUACUUUAUUUAGUUAACUAAUUUUAUUCUAGAAUAUUCUAUGUUUUAGGGUUUUGAGCUUUUAUUAUAAAUAGCCGUCUUAGGCUUCUUGUAUUACUUGGUUGUUUUUGAUUAAUAAAAUCUUUUGAUAAGCACUGAGAAAAGUAUUCUCAAACGAAGUCUUUGAAGUCUUUGUUUAUCGUGAAUCCAUUGAUCUCCGAUAACAAUAGAAUUCCGAGCUACGAUUGUCUUGCUUGAGAUCCAUUGAUACUCAAGAUUACUUUCGUAAUCUAUCCCGCUGCAACAGUUGGUAUCAGAGCCGAAUCGGUUCUUUGUUUAUCAUGUCGCUUGGGUGUCUCUAUCACACGGAUGAAUAUCCGUUUACUUUUACAGAAGACUUGUAUGAAGAGUACAAGGAAAUUAUUGGUGAUCCAAUUUUCGACGUAUACAAUGAUGAAGAUCUAAUUCACGAAGAUAAAGAUCUAACUCAUGAUGUAUACGAUGCAUAUAUUGAAGAACUCAUCUACGUUCAAAGGAUGAAGGUGAUGAGACGUGUUGUUAAUCAAAUUAUCUUCACAUCCAUGAAAGAUCCCCAUUUAAUUCAUCAAGCCGAUGACAUGGACGUGGAGAAGCAUACAAGGGUUUGGGCUUCUUUUGUUAAAGCAGUCCCAAUAAAAAUACCUCCUCAUGACGUGAGGGAGCCUAUGAUUCGAGACCAUCAACGACUCAACAUAGCACUCAUGGCAUAUUUCGGUUGGAAAAUUAAUGAUUUUGGCGAGAGGCAAAAUUAUAUAUUCACGUUUGAAGGAUUUUAUCAAUGGAGAAAAAGAAAGAAAAGAUGGAAGCAACAAAGGGUGUUAAGAUUCGAGGACGAAUCUUUUUCUACCCCGAGUGACCUGAUGUAGCAAGAUAUUUGGAAAUAUUCUAAAUAUCAUUUAUUAUUAUACUUUAUUUAGUUAACUAAUUUUAUUCUAGAAUAUUCUAUGUUUUAGGGUUUUGAGCUUUUAUUAUAAAUAGCCGUCUUAGAGCAUCAUUAUUGAUGGACUCUUAACUUUUGCUCUUAACAUUAUUUAAAAUUAAAAUUUUGCUUUUUGAAAGCUAAGAUACAAAGAGAAUAUCUUAACAAAAAUGUUCUCCAAUGGUUGGUUCUUAAGAAAAAAAUUUCAAAUUUUUGCAAAACAAUAUUUUCCAAUACAAACAUUCAUACAACCAAACUCAUACAAGCUUUGAUAUCUAUCACUUUCACUAAACAUGUCUCUUGCAUGCUGUUUCUUUUUUGCAAACUGUCAUCAGAGAAAUCCUUGAAAUGUUGCCAAGAACAUUCAUCAUUAUUGCACCUUCCACGUAACUCGUACAUGCAGAGAGGCCAAGAAGGGUCCACCUUCAAAUAAAAGGUGUAGAAGCCAAUUUUUUUCUCAUAUACUAUAGUUUCAGUCAAGCUCCUACAUUAUCUUUUAUCACUAUAUAGGCUAUAUGACUUGUUUUGAAGUGUAUAUUCUGGUCCCAGAGACGUAAUUGAAGACCCUGGUACUUUCAGAUGAUAGAUUGUGCUCCGAAAUAAAGGACCUGACAAAGCUACAGACGAUAAAAGGUCAUUCUCUGGUGAACUCCUAUGGGACUCCAUAUCUAUAGAUGACUGAAAUUCCUCCAUUGAGCUUCAACACAAAACCAUGUGAGGUUUUUGAGACACAUAAAGACAAUUGACAAAAAGAUUCAAGCUUUAACACACAACUCACAUUCAAACAGAGAUUCAAUUUGACAAAAAAACUAUAAACUUUGGUUCUAACAAACCAACGAGGCAUUAAACCAGAAUGAUUAAAGUUCAUAGGUGUUGACUAACCUGAAUAAUUAACUGCACAUCAUUGAUAUAUCUAGACCACGAGCAGCAACAUUUGUAGCCACCAAUGUAGAAAACUUGCCAUUCCUAAAUCCAGCAAGAGUAACCUAUAAUCACAUUCGCAGCCAAACAGAACCUGCAACCAAAAUCAACCAUAAACUGAGUCUUAUUCCUAGUCAUUGGAUAACAUCAUUUUAGUUUAAACAACUUCCACAGCUAAUUACAAGAAUAGAAACUUCCACAACUUCCACAACUCAAUCAUAGAUACAAUGCUCCAUAGAAAUAAAACCAUAAUUACUAUGUCAUCACAGUGAAUUAUAUCUCACAAAAGAAAGAACAAAGUAAAUUCAGAAAAGCAACUAUAUCAAAAAUAUAAGGAAGGAAGAAUCUGGCACCUUUUGGAUCAACUUCACGAGAGAUCUUAAUGGCAUCAGAUGUAGCAAGAUCCUGAUUUGCAGGGGAAAUAGCUAGUAUGAUGCAGUUGGGCUGUCAAAAGCCCAAACCUGACCACCGACGACGGCAAUGAGUCCCACAGAGUUGGGAGGGACUUUCCCUAGCCGUAAUCUCCCAGAGCUGUACAAGCUCUCUGAAUCUUGUUCACAAGCGCAAUCAAAAUCUCCAUAACAAAAUCAAACAUAAUCAGCUCCGAUUACUCAACGGCGGAAUCAAUAUUCCGGAAGUCUCUGGAAGAGAAUCAACAGACUUCUCCUUCCAAACAGACCAAAUUAAAAAUCGAAAGCCUCCAUGGUUCGCGUGAAAGAGAGAGAGAGGGGAGGAGAAGAGAGAGAGGGAAAGGAGUAGAAUAAAAGUUUGACACGUGUACGUCUCUUAGGUGAAUAAAAGCCUCUUAGUUAAGGAACGUUGUUAAGUGUUAAAGGAGAAAAUUCAAUAAAUUUAAUCACUUUUAUUCCUAAAAUUUUCUUAAGAUCUACCUAACAUACUCCCGUUAAUGAUGCUCUUAGGCUUCUUGUAUUACUUGGUUGUUUUUGAUUAAUAAAAUUAAAGAGCUUUUGAUAAGCACUGAGAAGAGUAUUCUCAAACGAAGUCUUUGAUGUCUUUGUUUAUCGUGAAUCCAUUGAUCUUCGAUAACAAUAGAAUUCCGAGCUACGAUUGUCUUGCUUGAGAUCCAUUGAUACUCAAGAUUACUUUCGUAAUCUAUCCCGCUGCAACAAAGCCUCAACAUCUUCCAGCUCUUCCCUCUGCCAAAAACUUGAUAACCUUCAGGAUCUACACGAGUCUCUUGACAAGCUUAUUCAUCUACCUGUCACACAACAUGCUCUAGCUCAAGAGCAGAACAAGAAAGCCGUGGAGCAGAUUCUUGAAGAAUCUAUCAGGAUCUUGGAUUUGUGCAACAUUUCCAAGGAUACUUUGUCGUAGAUGAAAGAG